CCUACGGGAGGCUGCAGUGGGGAAUAUUGCACAAUGGGGCAAACCCUGACGCAGCGACGCCGCGUGAGUGAAGAAGUAUUUCGGUACGUAAAGCUCUAUCAGUAGGGAAGAAAAUGACGGUACCUGACUAAGAAGCCCCGGCUAACUACGUGCCAGCAGCCGCGGUAAUACGUAGGGGGCAAGCGUUAUCCGGAUUUACUGGGUGUAAAGGGAGCGUAGGCGGCAGCGCAAGUCUGGAGUGAAAUCCCAUGGCUUAACCAGGGAACGGCAUUGGAAACUGUGCAGCUAGAGUGCAGGAGAGGUAAGCGGAAUUCCUAGUGUAGCGGUGAAAUGCGUAGAUAUUAGGAGGAACACCAGUGGCGAAGGCGGCUUACUGGACUGUAACUGACGUUGAGGCUCGAAAGCGUGGGGAGCAAACAGGAUUAGAUACCCGAGUAGUC
rnacentral:rRNA from 1 species